rnacentral:rRNA from 1 species
UACGUAGGGUGCAAGCGUUAAUCGGAAUUACUGGGCGUAAAGCGUGCGCAGGCGGCUUUGCAAGACAGAUGUGAAAUCCCCGGGCUUAACCUGGGAACUGCAUUUGUGGCUGCAUGGCUGGAGUGCGGCAGAGGGGGAUGGAAUUCCGCGUGUAGCAGGUGAAAUGCGUAGAUAUGCGGAGGAACACCGAUGGCGAAGGCAAUCCCCUGGGCCUGCACUGACGCUCAUGCACGAAAGCGUGGGGAGCAAACAGG